rnacentral:rRNA from 1 species
GGAUUCCCCUAGUAACUGCGAGUGAAGCGGGAAAAGCUCAAAUUUAAAAUCUGUCAGUCUUUUUGGCUGUCCGAGUUGUAAUCUAGAGAAGUGUUAUCCGCGCUGGACCGUGUACAAGUCUCCUGGAAUGGAGCGUCAUAGAGGGUGAGAAUCCCGUCUUUGACACGGACUACCAGGGCUUUGUGAUGCRCUCUCAAAGAGUCGAGUUGUUUGGGAAUGCAGCUCAAAAUGGGUGGUAAAUUCCAUCUAAAGCUAAAUAUUGGCGAGAGACCGAUAGCGAACAAGUACCGUGAGGGAAAGAUGAAAAGAACUUUGGAAAGAGAGUUAAACAGUACGUGAAAUUGCUGAAAGGGAAACGCUUGAAGUCAGUCGCGUCGUCCAGGGAUCAACCUUGCUUUUGCCUGGUGUACUUUCUGGUUUGACGGGUCAGCAUCAAUUUUGAUUAUUGGAAAAAGAUCAAGGGAAUGUGGCAUCUUUGGAUGUGUUAUAGCCCUUGAUUGCAUACAAUAGUUGGGAUUGAGGAACUCAGCACGCCGCAAGGCCGGGUUUUAUAACCACGUACGUGCUUAGGAUGCUGGCAUAAUGGCUUUAAUCGACCCGUCUUGAAACACGGACCAAGGAGUCUAACAUGCCUGCGAGUGUUUGGGUGGAAAACCCGAGCGCGUAAUGAAAGUGAAAGUUGAGAUCCCUGUCGUGGGGAGCAUUGACGCCCGGACCAGACCUUUUGUGACGGCUCCGCGGUAGAGCAUGUAUGUUGGGACCCGAAAGAUGGUGAACUAUGCCUGAAUAGGGUGAAGCCAGAGGAAACUCUGGUGGAGGCUCGUAGCGAUUCUGACGUGCAAAUCGAUCGUCAAAUUUGGGUAUAGGGGCGAAAGACUAAUCGA